ACCACAUCAUUCUCUUGCGGAUAAGUCUUUUUUAAGUUCUCUCUGAGUGCUUGACUUACAAUGAGUACUGCUGACAAAAGUUUCUGCUUUUUUUAGCAGCUGGUCCAUUUCAAAGCUAAAUAUGAGAGAGGACAAAGUUCAAGUGGAAACUGAUUUUACUUUUUCCUUAAAGGUCCUAGAGUCGUUUCCUACGCCGGUUGGAUCUUAAAUAUUAAUGGGGAAAGUAACAUGACGAUAACAUGUGACACGAGCGUUUCCGUUUUCACCACAAUUUUCGACUAUAGUCUGUUGAGAGAGACUUUGACGAUAUCGGAUUAAAUUCAUCAUAAGCUCGUUACUCAUGGAACCAAAUAAUUUUCUAAUACACGAAAGAUAACCAAUCGAGAAGAAAUGGAUUACAUCAACACUCAUCACAUGUGGAAGCCGUUAGCGGCGAUCUCAUUAAACGAUAACCUGCGGACCAUCGUAACGGCGCCCAGCAUUCAAUCAAAAAAGUUCCACAAAAAGGUCACGAUGAUGGAAGUCUACACAACUCGAUCGCCUGCGACCGUUUUUUUUAACACGCACGAGAAUGACGACGACAGUAACGACGUGUGGCACAAAAUUAUUUUCGAUACGGAUUCGAACAGUAUAUUUAAUCGAUUAAAUGAUUCAGACGUAAAUAUUACAUCGUUAUCGUAUAAUUCAACGACCUCGUAUGGAAAUGGUAGUUUCUCUAACGAAACUAAUUACACUCAAGAAGUUGCCUGGCAUUUAGUUACUAUGAUUGGAACAGCAGUCGUUUUGGGUUUAUUGAUAUUAGCUACUGUUAU